UCACGUUACAGACAUGUAUUGUUGCAUCGGUUCAGUUUUUUGAAUUCAUGUUUUGGCAGAUCUUUUGUGUCCAUUCGAAUCCUCAAUCUCUAAUGUGAACUCUCAUACUUUUUCCAAUCAAAUUGCACACUCCUAGCCUUUUAUGUGGCCAACCCUAGCUCACGAUACAGACAAGUAUUGUUGAAUCGGUUCAGUUUUUU
rnacentral:lncRNA from 1 species